CCUGGCCCCACACCUGGGCGGGGAUGCCACCUCUCUGAGCCUCCGUUUGCCGCCAGUUUGGAGAGGGAUCCCCGACGUUAUCUCCCUUAGAGGGUGCCCUGGUUCCUGAACCCCGUCUCCCAUCACGGGCUCACCCCAAGCCAGUCAAGCCGGACUUCCAGCCCCUAGAGCUGCCCUCACGGGACCAAAGCUGAGGCCACCAGACCCCAGACAACACUCUAAGGAGGCCGUGGUGACUGGAAGCCUCGCCUGCACAGAAAGUUGUCCUGUCAUAUGCCGACCUGCAGUGUAUGAAAGCCUCCGCCCCCCAAA